rnacentral:rRNA from 1 species
UCGCGGCCUAUCAGCUUGUUGGUGGGGUAAUGGCCUACCAAGGCGACGACGGGUAGCCGGCCUGAGAGGGUGAUCGGCCACACUGGGACUGAGACACGGCCCAGACUCCUACGGGAGGCAGCAGUGGGGAAUAUUGCACAAUGGGCGAAAGCCUGAUGCAGCGACGCCGCGUGGGGGAUGACGGUCUUCGGAUUGUAAACCCCUUUCAGUAGGGACGAAGCGCAAGUGACGGUACCUGCAGAAGAAGCACCGGCCAACUACGUGCCAGCAGCCGCGGUAAUACGUAGGGUGCGAGCGUUGUCCGGAAUUACUGGGCGUAAAGAGCUCGUAGGCGGUUUGUCACGUCGUCCGUGAAAACUCGGAGCUUAACUCCGAGCUUGCGGGCGAUACGGGCAGACUUGAGUACUACAGGGGAGACUGGAAUUCCUGGUGUAGCGGUGAAAUGCGCAGAUAUCAGGAGGAACACCGGUGGCGAAGGCGGGUCUCUGGGUAGUAACUGACGCUGAGGAGCGAAAGCAUGGGGAGCAAACAGGAUUAGAUACCCUGGUAGUCCAUGCCGUAAACGGUGGGCGCUAGGUGUGGGGUCCUUCCACGGAUUCCGUGCCGUAGCUAACGCAUUAAGCGCCCCGCCUGGGGAGUACGG